rnacentral:rRNA from 1 species
GAGUUUGAUCCUGGCUCCAGCAUUGAACGCUGGCGGCAGGCCUAACACAUGCGAAGUCGAGCGGUCAACCAGCAGCAGUCAGCUUGCUACUCUGCUGACGAGCGGCGGACGGGUGAGUAAUGCUUGGGAAUGUACCUUAUGGUGGGGGACAACAGUUGGAAACGACUGCUAAUACCGCAUAAUGUCUUCGGACCAAGGCGGGGGACCUUCGGGCCUCGCGCCAUAAGAUCAGCCCAAGUGGGAUUAGCUAGUUGGUGAGGUAAUGGCUCACCAAGGCGACGAUCCCUAGCUGGUUUGAGAGGAUGAUCAGCCACACUGGGACUGAGACACGGCCCAGACUCCUACGGGAGGCAGCAGUGGGGAAUAUUGCACCAAUGGGCGCAAGCCUGAUGCAGCCAUGCCGACGUGUGUGAAGAAGGCCUUCGGGUUGUCAAAGCACUUUCAGUAAAGGACGGAACAGGUUGGACUGUUAAUACGCAUUCAGCUGUGACGUUAUUCACACGAAGAAGCACCGGAUAAUCCGUGCAGCAGCCGCGGUAAUACGGAGGGUGCGAGNCGUUAAUCGGAACUAACUGGGCGUCACAGCGUACGCACGGCGGANUGUGACACGCGACAGAUUGUGAA